GCAUCACAGGCGCCCCUCCUGGAAAUUUUGUUCCUCACCAGUGAAGACAUGAAAGUUCGUCCGGAUUCAAUUCAAGAGACGGUUAAACAGAUGAACGAAAAGUUUUCUGCUGACGUGAAUGAGUUAAAGGAACAGAAGACGUGGUCACUGGGUGCCAUCAACCACAUUUACGGAGAGCUGGCCAAGGUCGAGCAUUAAUUCCGCGAGGCUGUGCGAGACUAUUUUGCUGCACGAGACGAAACCUAAACUGCCAACGGAUCUCAA